rnacentral:rRNA from 1 species
AGAGUUUGAUCCUGGCUCAGGAUGAACGCUGGCGGCGCGCCUAACACAUGCAAGUCGAACGGCACCCCUCUCCGGAGGGAAGCGAGUGGCGAACGGCUGAGUAACACGUGGAGAACCUGCCCCCUCCCCCGGGAUAGCCGCCCGAAAGGACGGGUAAUACCGGAUACCCCGGGGUGCCGCAUGGCACCCCGGCUAAAGCCCCGACGGGAGGGGAUGGCUCCGCGGCCCAUCAGGUAGACGGCGGGGUGACGGCCCACCGUGCCGACAACGGGUAGCCGGGUUGAGAGACCGACCGGCCAGAUUGGGACUGAGACACGGCCCAGACUCCUACGGGAGGCAGCAGUGGGGAAUCUUGCGCAAUGGGGGGAACCCUGACGCAGCGACGCCGCGUGCGGGACGGAGGCCUUCGGGUCGUAAACCGCUUUCAGCAGGGAAGAGUCAAGACUGUACCUGCAGAAGAAGCCCCGGCUAACUACGUGCCAGCAGCCGCGGUAAUACGUAGGGGGCGAGCGUUAUCCGGAUUCAUUGGGCGUAAAGCGCGCGUAGGCGGCCCGGCAGGCCGGGGGUCGAAGCGGGGGGCUCAACCCCCCGAAGCCCCCGGAACCUCCGCGGCUUGGGUCCGGUAGGGGAGGGUGGAACACCCGGUGUAGCGGUGGAAUGCGCAGAUAUCGGGUGGAACACCGGUGGCGAAGGCGGCCCUCUGGGCCGAGACCGACGCUGAGGCGCGAAAGCUGGGGGAGCGAACAGGAUUAGAUACCCUGGUAGUCCCAGCCGUAAACGAUGGACGCUAGGUGUGGGGGGACGAUCCCCCCGUGCCGCAGCCAACGCAUUAAGCGUCCCGCCUGGGGAGUACGGCCGCAAGGCUAAAACUCAAAGGAAAUGACGGGGACCCGCACAAGCGGUGGAGCAUGUGGUUUAAUUCGAAGCAACGCGAAGAACCUUACCAAAUCUUGACAUCGAUCUGACCGGACCGUAAUGGGUCCUUUCCCUUCGGGGACAGAGAAGACAGGUGGUGCAUGGUUGUCGUCAGCUCGUGUCGUGAGAUGUUGGGUUAAGUCCCGCAACGAGCGCAACCCUUAUCUUCAGUAGCCAGCAAGUGAAGUUGGGCACUCUGUGGAGACUGCCAGGGAUAACCUGGAGGAAGGUGGGGAUGACGUCAAAUCAUCAUGCCCCUUAUGAUUUGGGCUACACACGUGCUACAAUGGCGUAAACAAAGGGAAGCGAUCACGCGAGUGUGAGCAAAUCUCAAAAAUAACGUCUCAGUUCGGAUUGUAGUCUGCAACUCGACUACAUGAAGCUGGAAUCGCUAGUAAUCGCAGGUCAGCAUACUGCGGUGAAUACGAUCCCGGGUCUUGCACUCACCGCCCGUCA